AAUCAACGCUGGCGGCGUGCCUAACACAUGCAAGUCGCACGAGAAAGGGGAGCAAUCCCUGAGUAAAGUGGCGCACGGGUGAGUAACACGUGAAUCAUCUACCUCCGAGUGGGGAAUAACUGAGAGAAAUCUUAGCUAAUACCGCAUAACACUUACGAGUCAAAGCAGCAAUGCGCUUGGAGAGGAGUUCGCGGCCGAUUAGUUAGUUGGCGGGGUAANGGCCCACCAAGACGAUGAUCGGUAUCCGGCCUGAGAGGGCGGCACGGACACACUGGAACUGAAACACGGUCCAGACUCCUACGGGAGGGCA
rnacentral:rRNA from 1 species